AAGGUGGCCCCCAGGACUCCUGGGUGCUGGGAAAUCCAUGGUGACCUCUCCCCAGGCAAAGGGGCCACCCUGGGAGGCCAGCAUCUGAAGGGGAAGCACAGGGCACCCCUGUCUGAAGAAGGCCGAGGUGUUGUGCCCCUCCGUUGGGGUUCGAGAGGCUGCCUGAAAUGCCCGUGUUGGAAACCCACCGCUUCCCUUUCCAUGAGCCCAGCUCAGCUCAGAGCCUGACAUGUCUUCUCCUUGCUUUCCAGAUGUCGUGACAAUUUGGGACAGCGUGGCUGAGUACAUGCUAGAUCAGUUUGCACUCAACAAGGGUGUGGCCAUAGAUGCCUUUGGCACUUUCUAUGUCCUGAGACAGCACAGCAGCGAGGUGAACAGGGAUGUGAUCGCACCAAGGUUUCACCUGUGUGAGAGAGCUGCGUGGGCUCAUGGCAUCAGCUAUGCCAACAGAGACAUUCCUGGUGAUCUUGAAGUUGUCCCCCUGGACUAUUCUCUGUUGUCAUCAAAGAC
rnacentral:lncRNA from 1 species